rnacentral:lncRNA from 1 species
UUACAUCUAACCUUUUGAAUCUAAGUUACGAGAGGAUUGAUGCUUGGAUUUUCUUAGCUUGCCGUUCCUAUUCGAAGUUCGUGAUAAAAGAAUCGCUGCUCUCAAGCUCGUUGUCGUCCAGUUCUCUGCCCCAUAAAAGGUAAUACUCGUUUUUUAUUCACGCCUCUUUUGUGCCUAAUGUGAGGACGAUUUGCUUUUGAUCGUUGUGUAGUGUUAGAUGUUGGUAUCCUGGGAGUGUUAUGACUUACUGUUGGUUGCAAAACUUUGAUAUAAGCUUGUUUGUCGAUUCAACUGUUCUUUUGGUUGUUUUGCUCGAAGCUUUACUAAUUUUGUAUUGCGUUGAGUCGGUUUCAUUUUAUUUUCUUCUUGUUAUUCUAACUAGUAUAAGUCGUGUGAGUUGCCUUUAAGACUAAGAUCCAUAAUCCACCUGACGGUUGUUGCACCUCUAAAUCUCUUAUUUAAUAAUGUCGGUUACGUAUCCUUUGUUAUCGGGUAAUUCGAAUUAACUUGAAUCAAUAAACUGGUCAUUUCCAACCCGCUGGAGCAUUUUUUUUUCUUUCUUUCUUUUUUGUGCUAAACUCUCCUUAUUAAAAUGUCCUAUAGUGCUAGUUAGUUUCUCAGUUGUACGUCCUUAUCAUCUUUACCCGUAAAUCAUACUAAAAUUGAAUCUUGUUAUCCGUACUCAAGUUGGUUUUGAAUGUCCCUUUCUUCCACUUCUCUCAAAUUGCUUGGGAUUUAUUAUCUCAUUCGUGUAGCAUGUCCUGUUUAAAUCGAAUUUAUGUGUCUAUUUAGUCUAAGUUUUAGUCGAAAAUGCUUAAGCAAAAUGUAAUGGAUCAUUUUUUGUUUCUUAUUAGUAAUUUUCUUAUCUUGUUAGUCUUGUUGUUUAAACUCAUAUAGAUUACGAUAUCGGUAAUUAGGAGGUUGUGGGAUUCACUUCAACAAUUAUCAAAAUAGUUUAUGUUUGCUUCUGUUAUAUUUUGAUAACUACUGGUUUGUCUUCUCCUUUCCUUAUAAUUGAUCUAUUGUUUAUUUGUUUAAAGUUUAUUAAAGUUUUGACCAUAAAGUUGAAAAUUGACUAAAUAAAAAUGAUUUUACUAACGUUCCACUUGAUGCCUUCCGAGAUUAGUGUAAGUUUAGGAUUAUCUAAGUAUUGUGGCCGUAUUAAUUUUAUUUGCCUCUAGUUCUUUGUAGAAUCUGUUUUGAUUUAGUCAAAGUCGUGUUGUACCAUGGUUAGAAUGUUAACAUUAUAUUGAGUUUUGACCAUACUGUGAAUAGCCUAUUUGCUAGCUUUAAAUGCUAUGAUAUUCUUAUUUUAGUUGAAUCAAUUUGGUUUCUACAUUCCCCUUCUGCUAAUUCUUGUUCUUUUUUUUUUUUAUGUUUUCCUUGAAUGAAUCAUUGUGGACUCCUAUAUUCACUCCUUGCCUUCCGAGUUGGGUUGAAACCCAACAUUCCUCUUUUUUUUAUCGAGUCGGCAGUCAUCAUGUUCGAGUUUUGAAAGCGGAUGGACAAGGGUACAAGGCUGUAGUCGAAAUACAAGCCUCCAUAAGUCCUAAGAUGGACAGUAUACAUUCAUUAUACACUGUAUACAUUCAGUAUACAUCAAUAUACAGGUCGAAAAUGUGGGAAUACAGGGCUGAGGCAAAAUACAGGUGUUCGGAACCAAGAGAUACAUGAAAAGAGCCUAUACACACGCUGAUAUACAUUGAUAUACAUCGAGUGUAUACAAAAACGGGAAUUGGAUUAAGCCCAAUAGUAGCAGCGAAUUUGGCCCAAAAAGGGCCCAAAUUCAAUUCUCCUUUACGUUUAAAUUAUUUAAUUGUCUUUUGUUUGUUUUUCUUAUCAUUAACUCUAACUUUAGAAUUGUUAAUUAGCUUAAUUA